rnacentral:rRNA from 1 species
AACGAACGCUGGCGGCAGGCCUAACACAUGCAAGUCGAACGAAGUCUUCGGACUUAGUGGCGCACGGGUGAGUAACACGUGGGAAUAUACCUUACGCUGGGGGAUAACAUCGGGAAACUGAUGCUAAUACCGCAUACGCCCUUCGGGGGAAAGAUUUAUCGGCGAAAGAUUAGCCCGCGUCCGAUUAGCUAGUUGGUGAGGUAAUGGCUCACCAAGGCUCCGAUCGGUAGCUGGUCUGAGAGGAUGACCAGCCACACUGGGACUGAGACACGGCCCAGACUCCUACGGGAGGCAGCAGUGGGGAAUAUUGGACAAUGGGCGCAAGCCUGAUCCAGCCAUGCCGCGUGAGUGAUGAAGGCCUUAGGGUUGUAAAGCUCUUUCACUCACGACGAUGAUGACGGUAGUGGGAGAAGAAGCCCCGGCUAACUUCGUG